UAAGCGAAUAGUGAAAGCGUGUGGCUCAACCAUACAUCCAUUAUUUGAACUGCUAAGCUAGAGGAUGAGAGAGGUUAUUGGAAUUCCCAGUGUAGGAGUGAAAUCCGUAGAUAUUGGGAGGAACACCGAUGGCGUAGGCAGAUAACUGGCUCAUUCCUGACACUAAGGCACGAAAGCGUGGGAGCAAACGGGAUUAGAUACCCCGGUAGUCCACGCCGUAAACUAUGGAUGCUA
rnacentral:rRNA from 1 species